GGCUUAUUGUAUAUUUAUAUUAAGUCUUACCUGCUCAAUGAUAAAUUAUUAUUAAAUAGCCGCAGUAUUUUGACUGUGCAAAGGUAGCAUAAUCAUUUGUCUUUUAAUUGUGGACUUGUAUGAAUGGUUUGAUGAAAUAUUUACUUUCUUUAUAUAAAAUUAACUAAUUUAAUUUUUUAGUUAAAAAGCUGAAAUAGUUUUAGAGGACGAGAAGACCCUAUAGAAUUUUAUAUUUUAAUUAUUAAUUUAUUUUUGGUUAUUUAAUUUAUUAUUAUAUAUUAGAAUAUUUUGUUGGGGUGACAGGGAAAUUUAUUUAACUUUCUUUAUUUAUAUUUUAUUAAUAUAUAUAUUAAUGAUCCUAUUUUAUGGAUUUUAAGAUUAAAUUACCUUAGGGAUAACAGCGUAAUUUCUUUGGAGAGUUCUUAUCGAUAAUGAAGUUUGCGACCUCGAUGUUGGAUUAAAAUUAGUAUUAGGUGUAGAAGCUUAAUUUACUAGGUCUGUUCGACCUUUAAAUUUUUACG
rnacentral:rRNA from 1 species